CCUACGGGGGGCAGCAGUAGGGAAUCUUUCACAAUGGGCGAAAGCCUGAUGGAGCAACGCCGCGUGCAGGAUGAAGGCCUUCGGGUUGUAAACUGCUUUUAUAAGCGAGAAAUAUGAUGGUAACUUAUGAAUAAGGAUCGGCUAACUACGUGCCAGAAGCCGCGGUCAUACGUAGGAUCCGAGCAUUAUCCGGAGUGACUGGGUGUAAAGAGUUGCGUAGGUGGCAUAAUAAGUAGCUAGUGAAAUCUGGUGGCUCAACCAUUCAGACUAUUAGCUAAACUGUUAAGCUCGAGACCGUUAGGGGUAAGUGGAAUUUCUAGUGUAGGAGUGAAAUCCGUAGAGAUUAGAAGGAACACCAAUAGCGUAGGCAGGUUGCUGGGACGGUUCUGACACUAAGGCACGAAAGCGUAGGGAGCAAACGGGAUUAGAUACCCGAGUAGUC
rnacentral:rRNA from 1 species